rnacentral:tRNA from 1 species
GCGGGUGUGGCGGAAUUGGUAGACGCACCAGAUUUAGGUUCUGGCGCCGUGAGGCGUGGAGGUUCGAGUCCUCUCACCCGCACCA